CGAAAAUAUCACCGUUUAUCUUUUCUUCUGAACUAACCGAGGGAAGUGCGGUACAAGUUUUAUGCGGUGUUUCAUCCGGAGAUAAGCCUAUGUAUUUCUCGUGGCUGAAAGAUGGCGCUCCCCUGCCUUCUAACUUGCAGAUCGAGGAAAAGAGUUUAAAUGAGUUUUCUUUACUGAUGUUCUCCGAUCUUACGGCGCGGCAUAGCGGAGAUUACACGUGUCGUGUUUCGAAUCACGCGGCUACCGUCAACUAUACAGCUACUCUUAGUGUAAAAGUGGCGCCGGUGUGGAUGACAGAACCGUUAGAUACUGCAGUGUUACUGGGUGCUCCAUUACAUUUAGAAUGCGCUGCCAAAGGGUACCCAACACCUACAGUCACAUGGUACAGAAGA